UUAAAUAUGACAGCUACCUGUAGCCUAUAGUGAGCAUUUUUAACAGCAUACGCAAACGAAGUACGAUUAAAUCAAUAAUUGCAUGAGUAAACACCUGUUUACAUCUGGUCAGUUUUUCCUCGUCCACACGAGAUGGCUUUAUUUGCUGCGCAAUGCCGUUUCUACAGGUACAAGUAGAGGUUACUUCAUAAGAUGCGCCUCUUAACACUCUUCCAAACGCUUUGCAACAUAAUUCGUUUCCUGCGAUGCUGCGGGUUUGUAUACUGUGCGCUCAAAGCCUUUUAUCAUUUCGUCCAUCUGGAAACCUGAGAUGCGUGCCGAUGAGCUGAACUGAGAAUGAUGAGUGGAGGCGCCGAAAGCAACAUCCACACCAUCCUCGAUCGUAACCCAGCGAACCGAUUGACCCGGACGCAGAUCGAUUGCGGCCAUAAAACGAGGACCGUGCCAUAGCCGCAGUGCACCCUAAGGGCAGGUGUGGAUUGGGUUACAUUCACCUAACGUGUCUUGACUAAGGUGUUGGGUGCGUGUGCCGAGGACUUGGAAUCCCCUUAAAUGCCAAAGUGCGAAGUUGGCGUACCAGAAUCUUCACCACUUUUCGGUGAUCGCAUCGAUUGAGGGCGUUGUCUCGAACCGUCAAAGAAGAAUUGUUCAGGAUGGAGAAAUGUUUUAACAAACAACGACAAGUGUGAAAGUAACGAUUAAAUGAGAGUCAACCGGAAAACCCUGAGCCCUCACCAGUAUCCGUGAGCACUAUGGUCUCUAAACGGGAUGCUACGAAUCCGAUCGGUUUCCAACGACUAAUUUAUGCCACCUUCACCUUCGGCUAUCGUAAAUUUAUUUAUAGUAUCAAUUAAAGUGAAAUAAAAUAUUAUUUAAUUUCGAAUCUA